UCCGCGAUAGCUCAGCUGGUAGAGCGCUCGACUGUUAAUCGAGUGGUCGCAGGUUCGAGCCCUGCUCGCGGAGCCA
rnacentral:tRNA from 4 species